AUAAAUUGGCCUCUCCGACUCCGUCCCAUUCCCGCCUUUGGGAACGUAAAAGGACUCACAUGACAUCACACGCUGGAUGCGACGAAUAAUCCUCCGUCCAGUUCUCAGUCGAUAGGCAAUGCUUUCGGCUUUCCUCGCCGUGGCGGUUCUCUUCCAAGUUCCGAUCCCGGAGCCUUGGUCCAAUCGCUCAAAUCCCCAGGGAACAGCUUCUUUGAAAGGUCAAAUACUUUGAUUGAGAUUGAGUUUUCAGAACUAGUGUUUUAUCGAGAACUAGAACAAUUUGAAUUUCUCGCACAAUUUGAUUUCCCUGCGGCGCCUCUGAUUUCGAUCGGUGGUAUCCAUCACGUAGCUGAAUGUUGAGCAUAGUUGUGGCUGAAACGCAUCAAUUAUGCACUUGGAUUUGUAUUCUCUCUGAGCUGGAGUUUCUGAUUUCCUACUCUUACCGUCGUUACUCUUGAGCAACUGUGUGCCCUCCUUCGUAAUCGAUUAACAAUCCUUCUUGGGAUGUGCAGAAGGAUGAUACUCUAGUAUUUUGUUUGUAAGCAAGUUGGCUUCUAUCACCUGCUAUAUUCACUGGGCCAUUAUUAUUUGAAAAACUUGACCAGUUCCUAUAGGUAUAACUCAAUGCUUGGACCGGUUUUCUUCCUUCUAAUGAGAAGCUAAUAUGCCGUCUGGGUUGAUUCUCUUUUUUUUUUUUGAUAGAAGACCUCUCUUCAUCUUGUAGUACUACUAACUGCUGGAACUGCAAUAACUGCUUAUUCCCAGGAGUGAACUUAGACUUUGAGCAUACCCUGCAUGUAGGAGAUAUCAUAUCAGUGAUAAUACUAAUAACAGCUUGAACUGCAAAAGCUGCUUAAGACUCGAGGAUCAAUGUUCAUGUAUCGAUAUGGAUGACAAAUGUUGUUUUAGCGAAUGCCAGGGCUUGGUCAUUUAUACUUAGCAAUCAUCUUUUCUUUUUUCCUUCCAGUUUCAUGCACCUCUUCUGUUGUUUUGAUCACCAUCCUCUUAAUGUGGAUGGUUGUCCUUGUAGUACUUUUUUUCUAAAGCUAUAUAUGAGUCCAAACCCACCUGUCAAUACAGAGAUGAAUCAACCGUACGUAUGUCGCCGCUCCUGCUGCUUGUACAUGCAAGUUGAGUUGUGCCCUCCAUGCACGGAUGCUCUUUUUUCUGGUAAAAAACGUCUCUGCUAAUGUACUGAUCUAGUAACAGUUCUGUUAAACCCGGAUACUAACUUAAUUAUGGGAUAGUUAAUCUGAAUAUUACCGAAAUAUAUUAUUAUAGGUGUAAAAACCCGAAUGGCACUUGCACCUAUUAAAGAUCCCUUGCUAAUUCAGAAUCUUUUAGACAAUAUAAUACGGAAACAGGCAACAUAAGAAACCUACUCUAAGCAUCUGAAGCUUAACUUAAAUAGCUAAAAGCACUACGUAUAUAAGAUUACUAUCUAACUGAAGUUCCUUCCUUGUUAUACAUGACAGAUAACAUGCAUUUACUGAGAACUAGUAUCCACAACUGUUGAAAUAUCUAAACAUUGCUGCUGAUUUGGGAACCUUGUCUGGCAGGUGUGUGAAACCUCCAUGUGAAGAGAUAAUCCUUGGAUUUGCAGGACAAUCUGAUGACAUCGCAAAAGGCAUUGACAGAACUCUUCUUCCCUUGGCUUCCCCAUUCAAUACUCACCCAGCAUGAAAACCCGUUUGAUGAAACGGGCACC
rnacentral:lncRNA from 1 species